rnacentral:rRNA from 1 species
GUGCCAGCCGCCGCGGUAAGACGAAGGAUUCAAGCGUUGUCCGGAUUUACUGGGUUUAAAGGGUGCGUAGGCGGAACUUUAAGUCAGUGGUGAAAGCUCUCGGCUCAACCGAGAAACUGCCAUUGAAACUGAUUUUCUUGAAUACAGUUGAGGUAGAUGGAAUAUAACAUGUAGCGGUGAAAUGCUUAGAUAUGUUAUAGAACACCGAUUGCGAAGGCAGUCUGCUAAGCUGUUAUUGACGCUGAGGCACGAAAGCGUGGGGAGCAAACAGGAUUAGAAACCCCAGUAGUCC